CAUCUUACAACCACCAACAUACUCCUUCUUCCUUUUUAUUUCAAAAUUUUCUUCUUCUCUUUUCUUCCAUUUUGGAACUUCAAGGAAGCUUCCAAUCACUGAUUACCUUCAACUACAAAGUUGUUUCACUACUUGAAACGAAUGCAAAGAGCCAAGGGUCAAUAGUUGAGAGUGUGUAUGUAUACAUGUUCUUUGUGCUUGUGGUGAAUAAAGUUCUUAGAGUUUUGAGUCAUGCAAGAAUUACAACAACGUUGAAGACGUGACAAAGCGAUGAUUUUGGAUUGGCAAUCGGAAGCAAUGAGGCUUGAUGUCACCCGUGGACCCCUAGUAUCCAAUCAUCCUCAGUUAGAGUUCAAGAUCAACUUAGAGUUUUAAUUAAGGGUUUUAUUUAUUCUCCCGUCCUUAUUGCAAUGUUAUUGUUGCAAUGAAAUUUAUGUAUCUGAAAUAAUUGUGAUUUUUUUGGGUCAAUGUGAAUUGUUCGGUUGUAAGUAAGUUAUUUGUAUCGAAACCAUUUUAUAUAAUGCAACAAAAAUUCUAAUCAUCA